rnacentral:rRNA from 1 species
UACGUAGGGGGCAAGCGUUGUCCGGAAUCAUUGGGCGUAAAGAGCGUGUAGGCGGCCCGGUAAGUCCGCUGUGAAAGUCCAGGGCUCAACCCUGGAAUGCCGGUGGAAACUGUCGGGCUAGAGUCCGGAAGAGGAGAGUGGAAUUCCUGGUGUAGCGGUGAAAUGCGCAGAUAUCAGGAGGAACACCCGUGGCGAAAGCGGCUCUCUGGGACGGUACUGACGCUGAGACGCGAAAGCGUGGGGAGCAAACAGG